rnacentral:tRNA from 1 species
GCGCGAGUGGCGGAAUUGGCAGACGCGCUGGCUUCAGGUGCCAGUGUCCUUACGGACGUGGGGGUUCAAGUCCCCCCUCGCGCACCA